rnacentral:rRNA from 1 species
AGCAGUCGAGCGAAUGGAUUAAGAGCUUGCUCUUAUGAAGUUAGCGGCGGACGGGUGAGUAACACGUGGGUAACCUGCCCAUAAGACUGGGAUAACUCCCCGAAACCGGGGCUAAUACCGGAUAACAAAUUGAACCGCAUGGUUCGUUUUUGAAAGGCGGCUUCGGCUGUCACUUAUGGAUGGACCCGCGUCAUUUUAGCUAGUUGGUGAGGUAACGGCUCACCAAGGCAACGAUGCGUAGCCGGCCUGAGAGGGUGAUCGGCCACACUGGGACUGAGACACGGCCCAGACUCCUACGGGAGGCAGCAGUAGGGAAUCUUCCGCAAUGGACGAAAGUCUGACGGAGCAACGCCGCGUGAGUGAUGAAGGCUUUCGGGUCGUAAAACUCUGUUGUUAGGGAAGAACAAGUGCUAGUUGAAUAAGCUGGCACCUUGACGGUACCUAACCAGAAAGCCACGGCUAACUACGUGCCAGCAGCCGCGGUAAUACGUAGGUGGCAAGCGUUAUCCGGAAUUAUUGGGCGUAAAGCGCGCGCAGGUGGUUUCUUAAGUCUGAUGUGAAAGCCCACGGCUCAACCGUGGAGGGUCAUUGGAAACUGGGAGACUUGAGUGCAGAAGAGGAAAGUGGAAUUCCAUGUGUAGCGGUGAAAUGCGUAGAGAUAUGGAGGAACACCAGUGGCGAAGGCGACUUUCUGGUCUGUAACUGACACUGAGGCGCGAAAGCGUGGGGAGCAAACAGGAUUAGAUACCUGGAAAAACCUUACCUACCCUUGACAUGG